UACGUAGGGUGCAAGCGUUGUCCGGAAUUAUUGGGCGUAAAGGGUGCGUAGGCGGGUCUUUAAGUCAGGGGUGAAAUCCCGGAGCUCAACUCCAGAACUGCCUUUGAUACUGAGGAUCUUGAGUUCGGGAGAGGUGAGUGGAACUGCGAGUGUAGAGGUGAAAUUCGUAGAUAUUCGCAAGAACACCAGUGGCGAAGGCGGCUCACUGGCCCGAUACUGACGCCGAGGCACGAAAGCGUGGGGAGCAAACAGG
rnacentral:rRNA from 1 species